CAGUCAGAAAUGACUGCUAAUACCGCAUAAGCGCACAGAGCUGCAUGGCUCGGUGUGAAAAACUCCGGUGGUAUAAGAUGGACCCGCGUUGGAUUAGCUAGUUGGUGAGGUAACGGCCCACCAAGGCGACGAUCCAUAGCCGACCUGAGAGGGUGACCGGCCACAUUGGGACUGAGACACGGCCCAAACUCCUACGGGAGGCAGCAGUGGGGAAUAUUGCACAAUGGGCGAAAGCCUGAUGCAGCGACGCCGCGUGAGCGAAGAAGUAUUUCGGUAUGUAAAGCUCUAUCAGCAGGGAAGAUAAUGACGGUACCUGACUAAGAAGCACCGGCUAAAUACGUGCCAGCAGCCGCGGUAAUACGUAUGGUGCAAGCGUUAUCCGGAUUUACUGGGUGUAAAGGGAGCG
rnacentral:rRNA from 1 species